rnacentral:lncRNA from 1 species
CUUGGUAUUUGCUAUGCAUUACAUUAAAUUGUGCACAUGAAUCUAAAUUCAUGAAAUGAUCCUGCCCUUACUUUUUAUAGAAGGCAUCUUCAAGCAAAGGGCUGGAGAAAUUCCGAUUUGCUCGACUAAAUCCACUGCGGACUCUGGGCCAGUUUUUGUAAUCUCUUUGCCUAAAGAAGGGAGGAAGGAGAAGUCAAAGGGAGAGAAAACGAGCCCAAGCGGCAACAGGAGGAGAAGGAAGUGAUUUAUCAACACACAAUUGGUUGAUAAAGACUUAAAAUAGUGUAUAACUACUACAUAAAUGUAUAAAUAUUAUGUUAUUUUUAUUACAUUUUAUUACAUAUUUAUACUUAUAUAAGUAUAAAUAUUAUACAUAAAUGUACAAAUACAUGUAUAAAUAUUAAAAUAAAUAUAGUGCCCCUACUUCGCGGAUUUCCACUUAUUGCAGGUGGUCCUGGAACGUAACUCCAGUGAUAAGUGAGGGAACACUGUAGUGUUAAGAUGGAGAGAAGUCGUAGUCCCACUCUGUUCUGAUUUGGUGAGACCUCAUCUGGAGAACUACGAGGGUUGAACGAAAAGUAAUGCAUCCACCUUCGUUACUUGGAAUUGGAUGGGAAUUUUUGAAUAAAUCAAAUACAGAAAAAAUCCUCAGAAUGUGCUCUUUAACUACCACUAUUCACUUUUCCACAUAAUCACCAGACAAUUGGAUACAUUUCUGCCAACAAUGAACAAGUUUUCUGGAGCCGUCAAUUGAAGAAGUCAACACUCUGUUUCCACAACCAACAUCUCACAGUUCUCUCAAUGUCUUCAUCAGAAGCAUAGUGAUGUCCCUGUAGAUCUUCUUUUAUUAUCACGAACAGGUGGAAGUCAGACGGUGCUAAAUCUGGACUGUAUGGAGGAUGCCAUACAGUGGUGAGAUCCAGUCUCUGAAGUUCUGCUGUGGUGGCAUGUGAAGUGUGUGGUCUGGCACUGUCAUGCUGCAGGAAGGUAUUUCCCUUUUCCUUUCGGCCCCUUGUUAGCCAUCGUUUCAAAGUUCGCAGCGUUGUGAUUUAACACUCUGAAUUUAUUGUUGUUCCACGUUCAAGGAAAUCAACAUGGAUAACACCAUCUGCAUCCCAGAACACUGUUGCCAUGAUAUUUCCAGCUGAGGGCUGUGUAUUGAAUUUCUUUUUCUGGGGUGAGUCUUUGUGUCGAUAUUCCAUAGAUUGACGCUUUGUCUCCAGGUCAUAAUGGUGUACCCGCAUUUUGUCUCCUGUCACAAUUGAAUGGAGAAAGGCGUCAUCUUCAUUCUCAUAAAGCGAGAGGAGUUCCUGGCAAAUUUCAAAUUUGUGCGCUUUCAUUUCAGGUGUCAGCAUCCUGGAUAUCCAUUGUGCAUAGAUCUUCCAAUAGCCAAGCAAAGCAAUAAUGUGACCCACACGUUCUUGUGAAAUGCUGAUUAUGCUUGAAAUUUCUCUCUGAGUGAUACGACGAUCGUCCUGAAUCAAUGUGUCAACGUUUUGCAUGUGAAACUUGGUGGCUGCUGUCACAGGAUGUCUAACUCUUUGUUUGUCACGCAUGUCAGAUGUUCCCACCUUAAUAUCUUUAAACUUACUCGCUAAACAAUGCACCAUAAACAGCUUGCAUUCUCUGAUGUAUCUCCUUUGGAGUGACACCUUCUGCUGUCAAGAAUUCAAUGACUGCAUGUUGCUUAAGUCGCGUUGACCGACCAUCUGCGCAGGGUUCCAUACUUCGCACUUUAACAACACAACCGUUCAAUACUAAGGCUUCCUGCCAAAUGGAACAGUACAGGAAAGUCCACUGAACAAGCCAGUACCUGCCGCAUACCAACACUGCCAUCUGUUGAGGAGUUACAAAGGUGGAGGCAUUACUUUUCAUCCAACCCUCGCAUAUCCAGUUCUGGGCAUUGCAAUCCAAAAGGACAUUGACAAGAAGGGACUUGUCCAAAGAAGGACAACACAAAUGCUCUAAGAUUUGGAAACAAAGUUCUUUAAGGAGUUGUUUUGGGAGCUGGCUAUGUUUAGCUUGGAGAAAAGAAGAUUGAGAAGGGACAUGAUAGUCAUGUUUAAAUAUUUGAAAGGAUGCCACACUGAGAA